rnacentral:rRNA from 1 species
UACGUAGGGGGCAAGCGUUGUCCGGAUUUAUUGGGCGUAAAGAGCUCGUAGGCGGCUUGGCAAGUCGGGUGUGAAAACUCCAGGCUCAACCUGGAGAUGCCACUCGAGACUGCUAUGGCUAGAGUCCGGUAGGGGACCACGGAAUUCCUGGUGUAGCGGUGAAAUGCGCAGAUAUCAGGAGGAACACCGGUGGCGAAGGCGGUGGUCUGGGCCGGCACUGACGCUGAGGAGCGAAAGCGUGGGGAGCGAUCCGG